rnacentral:lncRNA from 1 species
UCGCUUGGCCCGGGUGGAAGCUAUGAGCGCGCCGCCAGCGGGGCUCCUCGGAGGCGGCGGGGCAGGCCCGAGCUGGGCUCCUGUGGCCGGGGUGGGAGGAGAAGAGGCCGCGCGGCACGGGUGAGUGCCCAGGUAGGCGCGGGCGGGGCCGUCUGGACAGCUCCCGAGGGCGCGCGGGGCAGGCGGGCGGACGGGCGGGCAUCCCGGGCCCGGCGACUGCGGGCGGCCACCUACUCGAGCCCUGCAUGUCAGACUUGGGCUGGAUUCUCAGAGAGAAGCCUUAGCAUUCUCAUCCAGGCCAUCUCUGACCUGCCUUCAGAUCCCCUUCCACUUUGCUCAUUUCCUUGCAAGGUCUAGGGUUAUGACAGAGCUUGCCAUGUUCGCCUUUGGCUUCCUUAGUAACAGAAAUAAGCAUGGAGGGGCUUCUGCAGUGAUCUAGCCCUGUCCUAGGCGCCAUGGGAGCUUACAGUGGAAAUGCAGGAACAUUCUCCGCUGCAGAGAGUCUGAUAACCUCGGUCCUUAGAUACACAAAAACACCCCAGUGUGCUAAUAUUACCCAGAGCAUCAAAAAGGCAUGCAAGGAUCAAAUUUUGCAUGGUUCCUGCUGAGUGUAAAGGAAAGCACUAAGCCAUUUUCUCUGCCCUCUAGAAGCUUAUAAUGUACAGUCCUAUCACAAAGCAGAAUAAAAACAUGAAACCUAUAAAUGGGAAUGCCAUAAAGUAUUUUUAUCUCUACAGGUUCAUUCAUGCAGAGGGCAUUUAUUGGGUGACUGCAGUACUGCAAAAGGUUGCAAAGGAAAUGGAAGAUCUGGUCCCUGCAGGUUGGGAGUUUACAAUCUAAUUAGAAAUACAAGGCAUAUAUACGUGAAAAAACUAGAAUCCCCAGCUGUAAGCAAAAGGAUGGAGUAGGUGGGAGCAUUUUUUUCAUAAAGAGAGCUUUGUACCUGUAUGAUUGGUGAGGAGCAGGAGAGGCAAGUUCAGUACCAAUCAAGGCAAGAGCACCUAUAUGUAUCCCUGCUCUAUAGAAUGAUGUAACAGGGCCCUCAUUGUCACUUGGCUGAAGUGUCAGCUCUGCCACUUACAAACUGUUUUGAACUGGGGCACAUUUUUAACCUAAGAAGGGAAUACAGGUUGUCUCGUGAGGUGGUUGUGCAGUUCAAAUGAGAUUACAAACGUGAAAGCUUGUGAAGCUCAAUGAUGUACAUUCAUGGAGUCCUCAUUGUACAAACUGGCCCUUCUUGGUAACCUUUAGAGUUCCCUCCCAGGCUGUAAGCUGCAAGAGGGCAGGGACCAGGUCUGAUUGUAUUCAUCAUGUAUCACAAUGUUUAGCAGAAGGGUUCAUGUGGGUGUUCAAUAAAGUUUUGCUGAGUAGGUAAAUAAAUGAAUUAAUGAAUCCUGUUAUGCUCUGAACAGUUCCUAUUAUUUGUUCCUUAAGCAGUUCCUUCAAUAGUGGUCUUAUUGUAUGGCUGGCUCAGUGAAAAACACUCUAACUCAACCUCCUGUGACUUACUAGUGUGCCAGGAGACUGGGAGAAUUCUGGAUGGUACUGUCAGAGGCAUUCAAACCAGAGAAACUCCAUUUUGAAUGAGGGCUAGGAAAAUGAGACUGAGACUGGCUGGGCUGCAUUCUCGGGAAGUUAGGCUUUCUUAGCCUCUAGAUGUUUACAGCUAAGGGAACAAAUUAAUAGUGUUUACUAAACAAACCCAGACUUGGGAGUGUCCAGAUAUCCCGAUAUCUGGAGAACAAAGGCAUUCCUAAUUUUGCUUUAAAGAUAAUAUUGAUUCUUGCAAAAUAUAGUAAUUUAUUUAUUUAUCACAAACUCUUGUAGCAGAGCACAUCUCCCUAUAUAUACGAGCGAUGUACCUAGCAUGGAAUCGUUCCUCCUCUUACUUUCGGCAACAUCCUACUUUGUCUAUGGAGUAGGUGUCCUUUCACCACUUUGCUUUCUUAAUAAACUGGCUUUUACUUUACACUGCGGACUCGCCCUGAAUUCUUUCUUGCGUGAGAU